rnacentral:rRNA from 1 species
AAAUCCGGUUCACUUUAACACUGAGGCGUGACGACGAGGCACUACGGUGCUGAAGCAACAAAUGCCCUGCUUCCAGGAAAAGCCUCUAAGCAUCAGGUAACAUCAAAUCGUACCCCAAACCGACACAGGUGGUCAGGUAGAGAAUACCAAGGCGCUUGAGAGAACUCGGGUGAAGGAACUAGGCAAAAUGGUGCCGUAACUUCGGGAGAAGGCACGCUGACACGUAGGUGAAGUGAUUUACUCAUGGAGCUGAAGUCAGUCGAAGAUACCAGCUGGCUGCAACUGUUUAUUAAAAACACAGCACUGUGCAAACACGAAAGUGGACGUAUACGGUGUGACGCCUGCCCGGUGCCGGAAGGUUAAUUGAUGGGGUCAGCGCAAGCGAAGCUCCUGAUCGAAGCCCCGGUAAACGGCGGCCGUAACUAUAACGGUCCUAAGGUAGCGAAAUUCCUUGUCGGGUAAGUUCCGACCUGCACGAAUGGCGUAAUGAUGGCCAGGCUGUCUCCACCCGAGACUCAGUGAAAUUGAACUCGCUGUGAAGAUGCAGUGUACCCGCGGCAAGACGGAAAGACCCCGUGAACCUUUACUAUAGCUUGACACUGAACAUUGAGCCUUGAUGUGUAGGAUAGGUGGGAGGCUUUGAAGUGUGGACGCCAGUCUGCAUGGAGCCGACCUUGAAAUACCACCCUUUAAUGUUUGAUGUUCUAACGUGGACCCGUUACCCGGGUUGCGGACAGUGUCUGGUGGGUAGUUUGACUGGGGCGGUCUCCUCCUAAAGAGUAACGGAGGAGCACGAAGGUUGGCUAAUCCUGGUCGGACAUCAGGAGGUUAGUGCAAUGGCAUAAGCCAGCUUGACUGCGAGCGUGACGGCGCGAGCAGGUGCGAAAGCAGGUCAUAGUGAUCCGGUGGUUCUGAAUGGAAGGGCCAUCGCUCAACGGAUAAAAGGUACUCCGGGGAUAACAGGCUGAUACCGCCCAAGAGUUCAUAUCGACGGCGGUGUUUGGCACCUCGAUGUCGGCUCAUCACAUCCUGGGGCUGAAGUAGGUCCCAAGGGUAUGGCUGUUCGCCAUUUAAAGUGGUACGCGAGCUGGGUUUAGAACGUCGUGAGACAGUUCGGUCCCUAUCUGCCGUGGGCGCUGGAGAACUGAGGGGGGCUGCUCCUAGUACGAGAGGACCGGAGUGGACGCAUCACUGGUGUUCGGGUUGUCAUGCCAAUGGCACUGCCCGGUAGCUAAAUGCGGAAGAGAUAAGUGCUGAAAGCAUCUAAGCACGAAACUUGCCCCGAGAUGAGUUCUCCCUGAGACUUAGAGUCUCCUGAAGGAACGUUGAAGACGACGACGUUGAUAGGCCGGGUGUGUAAGCGCAGC